rnacentral:rRNA from 1 species
UACGUAGGGUGCAAGCGUUGUCCGGAAUUAUUGGGCGUAAAGCGUGCGUAGGCGGUGUCUUAAGUUUGUUGUGAAAUCUCCCGGCUUAACCGGGAGGGUGCGGCGAAUACUGAGAUGCUGGAGUGCCGGAGAGGUAAGCGGAAUUCCUGGUGUAGCGGUGAAAUGCGUAGAUAUCUGGAGGAACACCGGUGGCGAAGGCGGCGUCCUGGACCAACACUGACACUGAUGAGCGAAAGCCAGGGGAGCAAACGGG